rnacentral:rRNA from 1 species
UACGGGGGGGGCAAGCGUUGUUCGGAAUUACUGGGCGUAAAGGGCUCGUAGGUGGCCAACUAAGUCAGACGUGAAAUCCCUCGGCUUAACCGGGGAACUGCGUCUGAUACUGGAUGGCUAGAGAUUGGGAGAGGGAUGCGGAAUUCCAGGUGUAGCGGUGAAAUGCAUAGAUAUCUGGAGGAACACCGGUGGCGAAGGCGGCAUCCUGGACCAACACUGACGCUGAGGAGCGAAAGCCAGGGGAGCAAACGGG